UACGUAGGGUGCGAGCGUUAAUCGGAAUUACUGGGCGUAAAGCGUGCGUAGGCGGUUCGCUGUGUCCGAUGUGAAAGCCCCGGGCUUAACCUGGGAAUGGCAUUGGAAACUGGCGGGCUAGAGUCCGGAAGAGGCGAGUGGAACUCCUGGUGUAGCGGUGGAAUGCGCAGAGUAUCAGGAAGAACACCAACGGCGAAGGCAGCUCGCUGGGACGGAACUGACGCUAAGGCGCGAAAGCGUGGGGAGCGAACAGG
rnacentral:rRNA from 1 species